GUGCUCGCUUCAGGAGCACAUAUACUUAAAAUUGGAAUAAUACAGAGAAGAUUAGCUUGGCCCUGCACAAGGAUGACACAAAAAUUUGUGAAGCAUUCCAUGUUUUA
rnacentral:snRNA from 1 species